UAACCGAGUUGAGACAUUGCUGUAAUUUUUCUGACUAAUUUUAAUAAGAACGGAAAAUCAGUCUCUGAAAUCCGAACAUAAUUGGCAACGCCGAACGUGAAGUUGCUAUUAUCAGAGAAUACUAACAGUCUGUGCCAUUUUUCGUGUUUUUGUGUUUGUGGUCAAAAGUGUAAGGAAAAUAAUGUGCCUAUAGAUGGGACUCCCACUCACAAACGAAAUUACAAGUGUGGCCAGUAUGAGGACCUAAUAGGAUCUUAGACAAACCUGAGUGAUUUAACAAACUGCCAGUGUACACGAAUUACAGGAAAUAUAAGAAAACAAUUAAGCUGCAAGUUUUACUAGAACAAUCACAAGAAAUACUCCUUGACAUUUACAAAUCCUUGUAAAACUCACGGUGGGAAAGUUUUCGUUUGUCAUCAUGCUUAGUGAAAAUAAAAUUGGUUGGUCAAAAAUUACAAAAAUUAUUGCCGCAGAAAGUGGGGAAUUACCAGAAUCAGUUCAGCUCCACCUGUAACAGGAUGAAUUUAAACGAUAAAUCUACAGGAUAUUGUUGGGAAAUCUGAAGGCAUUAUAGGAAAUUUUUGAGAAUUACCAGGCAACUAUUCAACAUUUUUGUGUACUUUAUUUGUAGAUCACCUACUUCUUUACUAAGUAGUUUACCAAAAGAUGAAAUUGUAAGGAAACAAUGGAUAACAUUCCUUGUCGAAAAUGGAGCUGCCAGAGAGGCUGAUAGUUUUAGAAGCGCAUCAAUAUGUGGGGGGUCACAUCACUUCUUUAAGCUAUAGAAGAGGUGAUAAAAUAGGCACUGCAGUGUCUUUUAGGUAGAUAUUGUGAUCAGUGGUAAAUCAGGUUACUUGUUUUCUGGUCAAUCUGUUUGCCAACAGUCCCUUUUUUUUCUAACCCGACUGAUAAAAUUUAUCAAUAUGUUACCAACUUUUUUUCGGUCUGAAAUAUUUAUAUUUUUCCUGCAUAAUUUGUGACUGAAAAUUUUCCAUCUUGAACAUAUGAGAAUUUUUUGUUAAUAGGGGGAUGUUUUUGGGCUUUAUUUCCAACAAGUCAAAAUAAUAAUUUCUUUCCUAGAGUAGACAACAGCAGAUCUUUAAUUUUCAGUGGUAGUGAAAACAACAUUACAAGUUGUAGAGAGGCCUGUCACAGAAUAACCAAGGGCCAUCAGUUUUUAAAAAAAACUUAAGGCACACUAACAUAUUGUCAACAAGUAAAGUGCUUCUGAUUUAAAUUUUGUUUGGAAUUUACACUUAAUGAAAUUUUUGCUUCAGUUAUUCUACUAAUAAUUAAAAAUAGUUUAAUGUAUUAUAAAAGAACAUUUUUGUUAUUGCUUACAUCUUCUUUUUUGCAAUUCUUAAAUGUGGUAAUCCUUUCAAAUCAAGUGAUGUAAAAGAGUAACACUGAAGCAUCCUAUAUCGACGCCCUUGUGCAAAUAAAAAAUAAAUAAUUAUAUAUAUCAUCCCGCUAUCUUUUCUGCGUGGGUAGUAGGUAGAGUUCAAGGGGCUUAUAGGUUUAAUGUGAGGAACCAACUUUUUUUAUUUUUGCUAUUAUCUAAUUGAGUCUCUUAAUUUAUGUAUCACAUGUAAUAGAUAAUUGAGCGUUAUGAUCUCGACAAGUCCAGUGAAUUUUCAGUGUUUAGAUUAUCUAGAUGUCAGUUAUUGGAUUCCAAGCGUGUAUGAGUAAACAUGAGUACUGCAGCAACAUUGAAUUCAUGAUUAAAGCAAUAGAUUCAAAAUAAUGGAACUUCAAUUAUUUAACGCAGAUAAUUUGUUUCAUACAUUUUGUAGUUAGUUUAAUAGGUUCUGAUAUUAUAAUAGCUUCAUAAAAAUAAUUUAUUAAAACUAAGACAAACAUUAUUAUCAUAAUAAUAAUAAUAAAUACAAAAAUUCAAAAAAAUAUUUACACACAUGCAUCGUAAAAAGAAAAACAGACUAGGAUAUGUCUAUUUUGGCAAUAUCCAAAACUGUAAUAAAAACUGUAUAUAUGUAUAUGUAUAUAUAUAUAUAUUUUGGACAAACACCUUAAUUUUCAGCCAGGAUUUAUUUUCCAAUAAAUCUGAAUGACUGCUUAUUAACAUCUCACAUUCUGCUUUCUUUGGUGGUUUUUGUUUGUUUGUGGUUCUUAAAAAAUCUUUUACAACUUUUUUUUUGUUCCGCUGUCCAUUGAAUCAGUUCUCGUUUUUUUAUUGUCACGCUAUCUUUUUCGGAAUGUGUAAGUUCCGUUUCCAUUUUUGUCUGCAAGAGUGGGAUGCUCAUCAAUUUCAUCUUCGAUUGCAAACUGUUAGUCAGUUUCGUGUACAUCUUCGGGGUUUAAUUCUUCUUCCAAAUUUAAGUCAAUUUCUUCCAAUGUCUUUCCUUUGUACUUUCCCGCUUGGCCAUCUUCCAUGAGAAGUAACAGUUUCACAAUUUUUGCAGUUUGAAAAAUGUCAUCUGGAAGUCUAUAAUUUUGACUAUGUACAUUUAAAGUGUUGCCCAUAAACGUUGCCAACUGUUCAAUUUCGUUUUGUGACAUAUUAAAGACCUGUGAUAAUGUGGCCAAAUGUUUGCUUAAUUUCGUAGAAGUUAAAGCUCGGGAGUUCUUGCUCCACAUAUUCUUGCGUGUGUUUGUUCCUUAUACUUAUAAAGGCUGGUCUGAGUGAGUCUGCGCAAUUUUUUUUGAAAUUGUCGAUUUUCAAUCAGAAAAUCCAUAUGGCCUUGAAUAUCUCUGCUAAAUAGAACGAGAACCCUUCUUCCCCCUUAUCACAAUUCGUUUAAAACUUUUCAAAAGAAUUUUUUCAGAAGUUGUAAUUUCGUCCGAAAAUUCUUCGUAAUUGUGGUUAUUUUUUUCAUCAGAUAAUGUAUAAGACGUCAGCUUCAUUCUCUGCAAUUCACCUACCCUGUUUCUAUUAAGAAGCAAUAACCGGCAAAACACUGUUUCCAUCAAAACUGUGUAGUUUUUUAGACUAUUGGAACCCUCUUUCAAUUUUUUUUUCAGCUUCGUUGCCCUUUUCAAUGAGAUAUGUUUUAAGUAAUUUUAGAUCAGAUGCUAAAGGUAUUAUUGUUAUCUUAUUGCAAGUUUUAGUAUUUAAGUCUCUGGCAGCUUGGAUGGAUAUUUCAUGUUUCCAAGUACUUUCCAAUAAUCUCUUGAACAUUCUAACAUUUGCUUCAGCCUCUGCAGCACUAACGUUCGGGUAGCAAUAUUUUCGCUUUAUAAAAUUUAAUAUUGCGAUAUCACAACAAUUUUUUAAACUUGUAGAGAUAUUCAUAGCAAAAGUAGGAGAUAUGUAAAUAUCAUUUUGUGCAUCAUAUUUCGCAAUAAUUUUGACACUUUGAACAACAUCAUAAUUCUGAAACCGAGUUAUUUUAUUUUUUCUUAUAUUUUUGUUUGCCGAAUGGAAAACGUUUUCAGUUGUAGGACUGGAAAUUACUGAGUUCACUUCUUUCUUAUUCUAAAAAGUAGAAAUGAAAUGAAUAAAACAUAUUAUAAAUAUUUAACAAUACAACAAUUAUUGAUUCUCUAAAUUAUUUUGCUUCUAAUUUACUAUUUAUUUUUUUUAGUUCAUGUCAUAGUCGAAAUUUGGAAUAAUUUUGCUUUUCGCGACAAGAUAUAAGCAUUUACACUAUUUUUUUUUUGUUUUUUGAUUGUUUCAUUUAAAAUUUUUAGACUAUGGAAGCUCAAACCUCGCUCUAAACUUAAUAUUUCAAUAAAUAACUGUGAGAAACUAUUUUAAUCAACAAUUGAUGACAAAAUAUCAUUUAUUUAGAACCAGAAGCAAUGCAAAGAAAAAUAAGUAUUAGAACUUCAACGUUUUUGCUACACAGCAAAAUGCUUAAUCUUUUAUUUAUUUUUAUUUAUUUAAUUUUAAAACGUUGAAAUGAAAUGGAAUUUAAUGUUGAUAUUGUUGCGACUGUCUUUCAAAACUAAUCAUUCGGUUUAUAUUUACCUUAGGUGAUGUUAACAAUAAGUUACUUGACCAGGACGGUUUAGCAUCGGGAGAUGUCUAGAAUAAAUAAUUCAAUUUUUGAAUUGUAAUUGAAAUUGUA